rnacentral:misc_RNA from 1 species
AAUUAUCAACUUCAUAGUUUUGUUACUGUGAAGCUUGGAUUUGGAAGCUUGCUGGCUCUCUAGUCGGCUCUUCUUAAAAGUAUUAGCUGCUUGUCCGCGGGUUGGCUCAGAGUGUGAUAAGUAUCUACACUUGGUGGCUGCUCACUUGGAUGUGGCUCACAAUCGUCUUCGGACAACUUUUUAAG